UACAAAGUAGGUUGACAAAGGAGGCUUGCAAAGUGACGUGUACGGCUCAUAUCAGAAGGCAUUGGACGGCUGAGAUGUUGGCAGAAAUCUUUACCCAUUUACUGACCCAUUCAGAAAUUCAAACGCCAUUUACUACCCAUUUAGAAAUUGAAACCAGAAUAGAAGAGAGACGAAAAUUCUCAAAUUAGGGCGGCAAAAGCGAAGCGGGAUUCCAAUUGAUUUUCACGUUAUUUGUUUCAUCGAAGAAUCCGGCAUUGAACGUGAUUGCUCGUCCCGUCCAUCUUCUCCAUCUGUGAAAUCGGAAUAUGUAGCAACUCGAGUAUCCGGAAGCAACUCAUAAUAGUCGUGAUAUGAUGUGGUUCACCACUCACCGAAAGAGUAGAUACCAAUAAAAAUAGGCACAAACAAUUCAUGGAAAUGAAGUCGUGAACAAAAACUUGAGACCUUGGUUCUAUUUUCACCCAACAAUUGGGUGAAAUUUGAGUGGACAAGCCGUGGAAAAAGUAGUAGCGUGAAUGCCUUUUGUGAAGCUAUGAAAUUAGGUUGUGAGGCAAAGGAUUAUCAGUUCUUAUGGAGGUUCCGUAAGAGUAGAAAUAGCCAGAGCAGACUAUAGAAGUUCUCUAAAUAUAUAUACACAUGUAAAUAAACUUGUGGAGGUAGCCUACUGUCUAUCUCUGAAAAAACUAUAUGAUCUACAUGGUUUUCUUAUGUAUAAGAAAUGGAAUUAAUGUAUGUAAAUAUUAGCAAGUAUAAAAUUCUUGUUUUCUCCGUAAAAUA